GGGUUGUGAGGUUAAGCGACUAAGCGUACACGGUGGAUGCCCUGGCAGUCAGAGGCGAUGAAGGACGUGCUAAUCUGCGAUAAGCGUCGGUAAGGUGAUAUGAACCGUUAUAACCGGCGAUUUCCGAAUGGGGAAACCCAGUGUGUUUCGACACACUAUCAUUAACUGAAUCCAUAGGUUAAUGAGGCGAACCGGGGGAACUGAAACAUCUAAGUACCCCGAGGAAAAGAAAUCAACCGAGAUUCCCCCAGUAGCGGCGAGCGAACGGGGAGCAGCCCAGAGCCUGAAUCAGUGUGUGUGUUAGUGGAAGCGUCUGGAAAGGCGCGCGAUACAGGGUGACAGCCCCGUACACAAAAAUGCACAUAUUGUGAGCUCGAUGAGUAGGGCGGGACACGUGGUAUCCUGUCUGAAUAUGGGGGGACCAUCCUCCAAGGCUAAAUACUCCUGACUGACCGAUAGUGAACCAGUACCGUGAGGGAAAGGCGAAAAGAACCCCGGCGAGGGGAGUGAAAAAGAACCUGAAACCGUGUACGUACAAGCAGUGGGAGCCUCUUUUAUGGGGUGACUGCGUACCUUUUGUAUAAUGGGUCAGCGACUUAUAUUCUGUAGCAAGGUUAACCGAAUAGGGGAGCCGAAGGGAAACCGAGUCUUAACUGGGCGUUAAGUUGCAGGGUAUAGACCCGAAACCCGGUGAUCUAGCCAUGGGCAGGUUGAAGGUUGGGUAACACUAACUGGAGGACCGAACCGACUAAUGUUGAAAAAUUAGCGGAUGACUUGUGGCUGGGGGUGAAAGGCCAAUCAAACCGGGAGAUAGCUGGUUCUCCCCGAAAGCUAUUUAGGUAGCGCCUCGUGAAUUCAUCUCCGGGGGUAGAGCACUGUUUCGGCAAGGGGGUCAUCCCGACUUACCAACCCGAUGCAAACUGCGAAUACCGGAGAAUGUUAUCACGGGAGACACACGGCGGGUGCUAACGUCCGUCGUGAAGAGGGAAACAACCCAGACCGCCAGCUAAGGUCCCAAAGUCAUGGUUAAGUGGGAAACGAUGUGGGAAGGCCCAGACAGCCAGGAUGUUGGCUUAGAAGCAGCCAUCAUUUAAAGAAAGCGUAAUAGCUCACUGGUCGAGUCGGCCUGCGCGGAAGAUGUAACGGGGCUAAACCAUGCACCGAAGCUGCGGCAGCGACACUAUGUGUUGUUGGGUAGGGGAGCGUUCUGUAAGCCUGUGAAGGUGUACUGUGAGGUAUGCUGGAGGUAUCAGAAGUGCGAAUGCUGACAUAAGUAACGAUAAAGCGGGUGAAAAGCCCGCUCGCCGGAAGACCAAGGGUUCCUGUCCAACGUUAAUCGGGGCAGGGUGAGUCGACCCCUAAGGCGAGGCCGAAAGGCGUAGUCGAUGGGAAACAGGUUAAUAUUCCUGUACUUGGUGUUACUGCGAAGGGGGGACGGAGAAGGCUAUGUUGGCCGGGCGACGGUUGUCCCGGUUUAAGCGUGUAGGCUGGUUUUCCAGGCAAAUCCGGAAAAUCAAGGCUGAGGCGUGAUGACGAGGCACUACGGUGCUGAAGCAACAAAUGCCCUGCUUCCAGGAAAAGCCUCUAAGCAUCAGGUAACAUCAAAUCGUACCCCAAACCGACACAGGUGGUCAGGUAGAGAAUACCAAGGCGCUUGAGAGAACUCGGGUGAAGGAACUAGGCAAAAUGGUGCCGUAACUUCGGGAGAAGGCACGCUGAUAUGUAGGUGAAGCGACUUGCUCGUGGAGCUGAAAUCAGUCGAAGAUACCAGCUGGCUGCAACUGUUUAUUAAAAACACAGCACUGUGCAAACACGAAAGUGGACGUAUACGGUGUGACGCCUGCCCGGUGCCGGAAGGUUAAUUGAUGGGGUCAGCGCAAGCGAAGCUCUUGAUCGAAGCCCCGGUAAACGGCGGCCGUAACUAUAACGGUCCUAAGGUAGCGAAAUUCCUUGUCGGGUAAGUUCCGACCUGCACGAAUGGCGUAAUGAUGGCCAGGCUGUCUCCACCCGAGACUCAGUGAAAUUGAACUCGCUGUGAAGAUGCAGUGUACCCGCGGCAAGACGGAAAGACCCCGUGAACCUUUACUAUAGCUUGACACUGAACAUUGAGCCUUGAUGUGUAGGAUAGGUGGGAGGCUUUGAAGUGUGGACGCCAGUCUGCAUGGAGCCGACCUUGAAAUACCACCCUUUAAUGUUUGAUGUUCUAACGUUGACCCGUGAUCCGGGUUGCGGACAGUGUCUGGUGGGUAGUUUGACUGGGGCGGUCUCCUCCUAAAGAGUAACGGAGGAGCACGAAGGUUGGCUAAUCCUGGUCGGACAUCAGGAGGUUAGUGCAAUGGCAUAAGCCAGCUUGACUGCGAGCGUGACGGCGCGAGCAGGUGCGAAAGCAGGUCAUAGUGAUCCGGUGGUUCUGAAUGGAAGGGCCAUCGCUCAACGGAUAAAAGGUACUCCGGGGAUAACAGGCUGAUACCGCCCAAGAGUUCAUAUCGACGGCGGUGUUUGGCACCUCGAUGUCGGCUCAUCACAUCCUGGGGCUGAAGUAGGUCCCAAGGGUAUGGCUGUUCGCCAUUUAAAGUGGUACGCGAGCUGGGUUUAGAACGUCGUGAGACAGUUCGGUCCCUAUCUGCCGUGGGCGCUGGAGAACUGAGGGGGGCUGCUCCUAGUACGAGAGGACCGGAGUGGACGCAUCACUGGUGUUCGGGUUGUCAUGCCAAUGGCACUGCCCGGUAGCUAAAUGCGGAAGAGAUAAGUGCUGAAAGCAUCUAAGCACGAAACUUGCCCCGAGAUGAGUUCUCCCUGACCCUUUAAGGGUCCUGAAGGAACGUUGAAGACGACGACGUUGAUAGGCCGGGUGUGUAAGCGCAGCGAUGCGUUGAGCUAACCGGUACUAAUGAACCGUGAGGCUUAACCUUACAACGCCGAAG
rnacentral:rRNA from 1 species